rnacentral:rRNA from 1 species
AGAGUUUGAUCAUGGCUCAGGACGAACGCUGGCGGCGUGCUUAAUACAUGCAAGUCGAGCGAGGUUACUGUUUUGGAUCCCUUCGGGGUGAAGAAGCUUUAACCUAGCGGCGGACGGGUGAGUAACGCGUGGGUAACCUACCCCAAAGUCCGGGAUAACAGCGGGAAACCGCUGCUAAUACCGGAUGCCUUUACCUUGGGGCAUCUUGAGGUAAAGAAAGGUAACGCUUUGGGAUGGGCCCGCGUCCCAUUAGCUAGUUGGUGAGGUAACGGCUCACCAAGGCGACGAUGGGUAGCCGGCCUGAGAGGGUGGACGGCCACACUGGGACUGAGACACGGCCCAGACUCCUACGGGAGGCAGCAGUAGGGAAUAUUGCGCAAUGGACGGAAGUCUGACGCAGCGACGCCGCGUGAGCGAUGAAGGUCUUCGGAUCGUAAAGCUCUGUCCUUGGGGAAGAAGGUCUUCGGACUUGACGGUACCCAAGAAGAAAGCCCCGGCUAACUACGUGCCAGCAGCCGCGGUAAUACGUAGGGGGCGAGCGUUGUCCGGAAUUACUGGGCGUAAAGGGUGCGUAGGCGGCCCUUUAAGUCGGAUGUGAAAGCCCGCGGCUUAACCGCGGAAUGGCAUUCGAAACUGGAGGGCUUGAGUGUCGGAGAGGGUAGUGGAAUUCCCAGUGUAGCGGUGAAAUGCGUAGAUAUUGGGAGGAACACCAGUGGCGAAGGCGACUACCUGGACGAUAACUGACGCUGAGGCACGAAAGCUAGGGGAGCAAACAGGAUUAGAUACCCUGGUAGUCCUAGCCGUAAACGAUGGGUACUAGGUGUGGGUGGUUUCGAUACCAUCCGUGCCGUAGUUAACGCAUUAAGUACCCCGCCUGGGGAGUACGUGCGCAAGCAUGAAACUCAAAUGAAUUGACGG